GCCGGGGUUGCAGAGUGGUACUGCGGGGGACUCGAGAUCCCCUGCCCUUCGGGGCUCCUGGGUUCGAAUCCCAGCCCCGGCG
rnacentral:tRNA from 1 species